rnacentral:rRNA from 1 species
GGCGGACGGGUGAGUAAUGUCGGGGAAACUCGCCGGUGGAGGGGGAUAACUACUGGAAACGGUAGCUAAUACCGCAUAACGUCGCAAGACCAAAGAGGGGGACCUUCGGGCCUCUUGCCAUCGGAUGUGCCCAGAUGGGAUUAGCUAGUAGGUGGGGUAACGGCUCACCUAGGCGACGAUCCCUAGCUGGUCUGAGAGGAUGACCAGCCACACUGGAACUGAGACACGGUCCAG